rnacentral:rRNA from 1 species
AGCGAACCGGGAAGAGCUCAAAUUUGUAAUCUGGCGCCCCUCGGGCUCAGAGUUGUAAUCUACAGAGGCGUUUUCCGUGCCGGCCCGUGCCCAACUUUGCUUGGAACAGUGAGAUCAAAGAGGGUGAAAAUCCCGUACUUGACACGACCGCCGGUGCUAUGUGAUACGUCUUCUAAGAGUCGAGUUGUUUGGGAAUGCAGCUCAAAACGGGUGGUAAAUUCCAUCUAAGGCUAAAUAUUGGCGAGAGACCGAUAGCGAACAAGUACCGUGAGGGAAAGAUGAAAAGCACUUUGGAAAGAGAGUUAAACAGCACGUGAAAUUGUUGAAAGGGAAACGAUUGAAGUCAGUCGUGUCCGAGGGGUUCAGCCGGUCCUGCCGGUGCAUUCCUCUCGGACGGGUCAACAUCGGUUUUGUCCGGCGGACAAGGGCAUGGGGAAAGUGGCACCUUCGGGUGUGUUAUAGCCCCGUGUCGCAUACGUCGGACGAGACCGAGGAACGCAGCUCGCCUCACGGCCGGGGUUCGCCCACGUACGAGCUAGGA